rnacentral:rRNA from 1 species
AGAGUUUGAUCCUGGCUCAGGACGAACGCUGGCGGCGUGCCUAAUGAAUGCGAGUCGAACGGAAUACGGUAACUGUAACUGCCUUCGGGCAGUUGCUCCCUCCGUAUUUAGUGGCAAACGGGUGAGUAACACGUGGGUAACGUGCCUCCAGGACGAGCAUAACAGGACGAAAGCCCUGCUAAUACUCGAUAGGCUGCCCCUGCUCUGGCAGGGUCCAGUAAAGCUCAGGCGCCUGGAGAUCGGCCCGCGGUCCAUUAGCUUGUUGGUGAGGUAACGGCUCACCAAGGCGACAAUGGAUAGCUGGUCUGAGAGGACGAUCAGCCACACUGGGACUGAGACAUGGUCCAGACUCCUACGGGAGUUAGCAUCCGGGAAUCUUGCACAAUGGGCGCAAGCCUGAUGCAGCGACGCCGCGUGGGUGAUGAAGGUCUGCGGAUCGUAAAGCCCUGUCAGGAGGGACGACACCCGACUGUACCUCCAAAGGAAGCCCCGGCUAACUACGUGCCAGCAGCCGCGGUAAAACGUAGGGGGCUAGCGUUGUCCGGAAUUACUGGGCGUAAAGCGCACGCAGGCGGUCUGUAAAGCGGUGGGUGCAAUCUCGAGGCUCAACCUCGAAACUGCUUGCCGAACUGGCAGACUAGAGCACGGGAGAGGACAGUGGAAUUCCCGGUGUAGCGGUGGAAUGCGUAAAUAUCGGGAGGAACACCAGUGGCGAAGGCUGCUGUCUGGAACGUUGCUGACGCUGAGGUGCGAAAGCUAGGGGAGCGAACGGGAUUAGAUACCCCGGUAGUCCUAGCCGUAAACGAUGCUCACUAGGUGUUGCCGGUAUUAACCCCGGCAGUGCUGUUCUGCUAACGCGCUAAGUGAGCCGCCUGGGGAGUACGGCCGCAAGGCUGAAACUCAAAGGAAUUGACGGGGGCCCGCACAAGCGGUGGAGCAUGUGGGUUAAUUGGAUGCUACGCCAAGAACCUUACCAGGGCUUGACAUGUUGGGGACCGCGUGAGAGAUCACGUUUUCUCCGCAAGGAGACCCCAUCACAGGUGGUGCAUGGCUGUCGUCAGCUCGUGUCGUGAGAUGUUGGGUUAAGUCCCGCAACGAGCGCAACCCUCACCGGAUGUUGCCAUCGGUUCGGCCGGGCACUCUUUCGGAACUGCCUGAGUAAUCAGGAGGAAGGCGAGGAUGACGUCAAGUCCGCAUGCCCCUUAUGUCCUGGGCUGCACACGUGCUACAAUGGCUGGUACAAAGGGUUGCCAAACCGCGAGGUGGAGCUAAUCCCCCAAAACCAGCCCCAGUUCGGAUUGGAUGUCUGCAACUCGACUCCAUGAAGCUGGAAUCGCUAGUAAUCGUGGAUCAGCAACGCCACGGUGAAUACGUUCUCGGGCCUUGUACACACCGCCCGUCAAGUCACGAAAGCUGGUAGCACCCGAAGUCCGUUGAAAGGCGGCCGAAGGUGAGACCAGUGAUUGGGACUAAGUCGUAACAAGGUA